GCCAACUGUUGUACUGCACUACUGACUUUUCAAGGCUUACAAGAGAAUUCAGAGGAGACCUAGCCUGGAGAGAACUGCUGCUUUCCUGCUGUAGCAUGGCUGUAUUCACACCAGAACAUAUGCAUGCACUCAACACGCAUCAAAACUAUCAGUCACUAGACCAACCUGACAGUAAAGCUCCUGGAAGACACAUCUCCUGGUUGCUGUUAUGGUGUCACUGUAAGGAUGGCACCAUCUAUGCUGCAGUUCCCAAACUGUGUGCCGGGGUGCCUGGGUUCUAAC